rnacentral:rRNA from 1 species
AGUGAACGCUGGCGGUAGGCCUAACACAUGCAAGUCGAACGGCAGCACAGUAAGAGCUUGCUCUUACGGGUGGCGAGUGGCGGACGGGUGAGGAAUACAUCGGAAUCUACUUUUUCGUGGGGGAUAACGUAGGGAAACUUACGCUAAUACCGCAUACGACCUACGGGUGAAAGCAGGGGAUCUUCGGACCUUGCGCGAUUGAAUGAGCCGAUGUCGGAUCAGCUAGUUGGCGGGGUAAAGGCCCACCAAGGCGACGAUCCGUAGCUGGUCUGAGAGGAUGAUCAGCCACACUGGAACUGAGACACGGUCCAGACUCCUACGGGAGGCAGCAGUGGGGAAUAUUGGACAAUGGGCGCAAGCCUGUUCCAGCCAUACCGCGUGGGUGAAGAAGGCCUUCGGGUUGUAAAGCCCUUUUGUUGGGAAAGAAAAGCAGCAGGUUAAUACCCCGCUGUUCUGACGGUACCCAAAGAAUAAGCACCGGCUAACUUCGUG